CGAUUUAGCUCCGUAUAUAAAGUUUAUUACUUUUGUUAGAAUAA
rnacentral:tRNA from 1 species